rnacentral:lncRNA from 1 species
AACACAGACUUACCAUUUUGUAACCUUAGAGGUCAGAGUCUUAGUAAAGGCUGUGUUUGUUCAGAGUUUGGGGAUAAACUCUUGUCCUUUCCAGCUCCCAGAUAGUGUUUACUAAUUCAACUCAUGGCCUGUGUCCCUCCAACCUCUGUCUCUGUGGUCACAUCUCCUUCCCUGACCUCGGCUCUCCCCCGUAUCUUAUGGAGACCAUUUGCCUUUGGCCACGUGAACAAUCCUGUACCAUCUUUUCACCUCGAGAUCCACAAUUUAAUCCUGUCUGGAAAGAAAGCUGUUUGCUCUCCCAGGCUUUGGACAAGCCAUUGUUCCAUUUACCACUGUCACCAUUUAGGGAAGUCACACACUUAUUGUAAUACUCUUCUCUCGUUGGUGUCUUGCUGUGUCCUCCAGAGUCCCAUUGUCAGACAUUCAAUUUAAAAAGCUCCUUACUGUCAGACUCCUACCUUGCAGGCAUGGAGGGAGGGAAGGAUAAUGAAGCCUUGGACAGUCAGCCCAGGAAUCCCAGACAACAGAACUCUUUACAGUUUCAUGAAGCAUCGAACAAGUGCUGUGGUCUGCACUGUCAGAAGCUCCGCAUUAAAGUGUAAUGAUGGCUGCAGAGGCAGAGUGGCCAGAAAGAGCGAGAAGGCCGUGAGUGAAGGGAAAGGAAAACAUAUCAACUGAGACUGGGAGAGAGAGUCAGAAGGAGCCCCACUGGACUUGCCUGGGUUGCAGUAAACACCUUGGGCUGUCUCUAUGAAGAUAAAGCUGUCAAUUAAAUCUAACUGUAAAUUCU